GAUGAACGCUGGCGGCGUGCCUUAUACAUGCAAGUCGAGUGGGUUUAGACCCACGGCAAACGGGUGAGUAACACGUAGGUACUUUCCUUGUCACAGGAAUAACCCUCCGAAAGGAGGGCUAAUACCUGAUGUGAUCGCAAGAUUAAAGGGUAUCCGCAAGGAUUACCGGACAAGAAGAGGCCUGCGGCCUAUCAGCUAGUUGGCGGGGUAAAUGCCCACCAAGGCUAUGACGGGUAGCUGGUCUUAUGAGGAUGAUCAGUCACAUGGGCACGGAGACACGGGCCCAACACCUACGGGAGGCAGCAGUAGGGAAGUUUGCGCAAUGGGCGAAAGCCUGACGCAGCGACGCCGCGGGCGAGAUGAAGGCCUUCGGGGCGUAAACCGCUUUUAUAAGGGACGAACUUUGACGGUACCUUAUGAAUAAGAGGUUGCUAACUCUGUG
rnacentral:rRNA from 1 species